UGCCUACUUUUGUGGAUGAACAUCCCUGACAAGGUGGUGCUAUCUGUGAAAGGAGAGUCUCCACGCAUAUUCUGACCUGUAUCAAGGUCCAGUGCAGCAGUGGUCCCCACCCACCCUUGCUCCAUGGCACUCACAAUUCCUGGUAUGCUCUGGGCACUGGGCAUCAGGGACAGAUGUAUAGGACAGCAAGACACAAGGGCGAGAACUCUACGUUUCAUAAGGUAGAAAUAAAAAAAUUUUGACACUUAGUUUACCUCAGAGAAAAAAGAAAACAGUGAGCUUUCCAAGGGUCGA
rnacentral:lncRNA from 1 species